UUCGAUUAGAUACCCCUGUAGUCCCAGCCGUAAACGAUGCUCGCUAGGUGUCAGGCAUGGCGCGACCGUGUCUGGUGCCGCAGGGAAGCCGUGAAGCGAGCCACCUGGGAAGUACGGCCGCAAGGCUGAAACUUAAAGGAAUUGGCGGGGGAGCACCGCAACGGGAGGAGCGUGCGGUUCAAUUGGAUUCAACGCCGGACAACUCACCAGGAGCGACUAUUACAUGAAGGCCAGGCUGAUGACCUUGCCUGAUUUUUAGAGAGGUGGUGCAUGGCAA
rnacentral:rRNA from 1 species